UUGCUUCAGUUGCACAUAUACUAAAAUUGGAAUGAUAUAGAGAAUAUUAGCAUGGCUACUGUACAAGGAUGACUUGCAAAUUUGUGAAGUGUUCCAUAUUAUG
rnacentral:snRNA from 1 species